ensembl:lncRNA
CAUUGUAUACUUUCUAAUUUGUCAUUCAUUACAACUGAUUUUUCUUUUUAUCUAAAAUAAUCAUAACGGAUGUACUUUACAUAAAAUGAACAAUGAAAAAAAAAAAAUAUAUAUAUAUAUAUAUAUAUAUAUAUAUGUACACGUAACAAACUCACGCUUACGAACGUACUAGCACAUGUUUAGCCAAGUAUGUAGUAUGUAUUUAUGUAUCUAUGUAUGUAUAUAUAUAUAUAUAACUCAUUAUUAAUAUAUUAAGCACGUUGUAGUAACACUUCAAAUACAGAACAUAAAAAAAAAAAAAUAAAAUAAAAGGUUUUCUUUGCUUCUUUAAUAUCUCGCGUUAUAUAUAAAAAAAAAAAAAAGGUAUAUUUUAUUUUUCCAAAAAAUCAUGAUAAAGGUAAAAAUUUAUUAAUUCGAAAUAAUUAAAAGUUUUCCUACUUUAUAUACUUUUUUUUUUUUUUUUUUUUUUAUUAAGUUCUAUAUAAUGGGCUAAUAUAUAUUUUUUUUUUUUUUUUUAAUUCUUGCUAGCAUUUUGUGAAGUGCUAUAAUCAGUAUAUAUAUAUAUUAUUCAUUUUUUUUACAUGUAUGUAUAUAUACUUAUAUAUACCUGUCUUGUCACGUUUAGCAGUGCUAUCCUUUUUACUAAAACUUCUGAGCAUGAUUAUUUUAAAAACAAAAAAUCGUUAUUGAAUAUAAUAACAUACAUAUUGUAAAAAAAAAAAAAAAAAAACACGCUUAACCAAAUCAAAAAUUUUUUAAUAGGCAAAAUGCAAAAAAUUGAAAAAAAAAUAAAUAUAUGCACAAACCAAUAAAAAUGGAGUUUUGUGUUACGACUCCAUAUGAUGAAGAACUAGAAGACAUAGAAGAAUUUAAUAUUAGGAUAUUAGCACUUGAAUCAAUUAAACAUAGAAAAAGUAAUUACAAUAAGAAUAAUGACAAUAGUUGUCCUAAUAUUAAAAAGUUGGUAUUACCAGGGGAAGUAGUAUUAGACAAAAAUGACAAAGGUCACUUUUUAAAGGGUAAUGGAUUAUAUGAAGAAGAUAAUAAAUAUAAUGCUUGUAUAUUAGGAACAGUAAAUUAUAUAAACAAACUAGUAUAUGUUGAAUCAUUAAGAGGGAAAUAUGCAGGAGCAGUUGGAGAUUUAUUAGUUGGUAUGAAUGGGUUCAUAUGGAUUUCAUCACCUAUCAAAAAAUCAAAAGAUAAUAAUCCAAAUAGUGUAGAUGAAGAUAUGGAAGGAAACAAAUUUGAAGAAGUUGAUGAUACUACAAGAAAAAAUAUUACUAUCGUUAGUAAUAUUAUUGAAUUAUUAGCUAAAUAUCAUAUUAAUAUUAAUUAUGAUAUAAUUACAAAAAUAUAUAUACAAUACACUUCAAAUAAAAACAACACCACCAGUUAUAUUUUAAAACCAUAUGUCGCAGAUUCUUAUCUUUUCAAUUAUCUUGACAAACUUAUAGAUUAAUGUUAGUGCGAAUGGGCAAGUGCUAGCAUGUCCACACUCACCUGCGCAUACAGAUGUAUAUAUAUAUAUAUAUACAUACAUAUAUGUCAACGUACAUGUCAACAU